UUGGAGGGCAAGUCUGGUGCCAGCAGCCGCGGUAAUUCCAGCUCCAAUAGCGUAUAUUAAAGUUGUUGCAGUUAAAAAGCUCGUAGUUGAAUUUCGGGAUCAAUUUGCUGGUCGUGCCUCUGGUACGUACUGGUAUUAUUGGUUUCUCCCUUCUGACGAACCAUGAUGUCAUUAAUUUGAUGUCGUGGAGAAUCAGGACUGUUACUUUGAAAAAAUUAGAGUGUUUAAAGCAGGCAUUAGCUUGAAUACAUUAGCAUGGAAUAAUGAAAUAGGACGUUUGAUCCUAUUUUGUUGGUUUCUAGGAUUGACGUAAUGAUUAAUAGGGAUAGUUGGGGGCAUUAGUAUUCAAUUGUCAGAGGUGAAAUUCUUGGAUUUAUUGAAGACUAACUACUGCGAAAGCAUUUGCCAAGGAUGUUUUCAUUAAUCAAGAACGAAAGUUAGGGGAUCGAAGACGAUCAGAUACCGUCGUAGUCUUAACCAUAAACUAUGCCGACUAGGGAUCGGAUGAUGUUAAUUUUUUAAUGACUCAUUCGGCGCCUUACGGGAAAC
rnacentral:rRNA from 1 species